UUCUACGGCUAAUGAAUUCCAGCCAAAUUUUAUGCGCGAACAAGCUCUCUUUGAUUUUGUAUAUGAGCGAAUUCAAUCGUAUAUGAGCGAAUUCAAUCGAUGGCGAUCUCCAGUAUCGGGCGAAUCAGACGUCUAGAUAUCAGUUAUAUCGCUGCCGCGGCAGCAGACCUGGCUAUUUUCAGCCAGCGAUAGAAUUCGCUGGUACGAACAUAUAAAAACGCCUAGUGUGUCGUGGACUUAAAAGACAUUACAUCUCUGAAGCACACAAAAAAGAAGUUCUUUGCUGUAAUACCAAGAUCAUUCCUAAUGGUGCUGUGGUCUUUAGCAUAUCCUUCUAGAUUGAUCUUCUGUAUUGAUGAUGCCUGAAUUUUACGAAGCCAUCUAGUGAGCAAUGGGCAGAAGGACAUGUUUGGCAAGAUUGUGUCCUCACGUUCAUCUCUGGUUAUAAUAUGCAGCACUCCUACAGGAACCACAAAUACAGGAACCACAAAUUACAUAUUUCAUAAUACACAAGUCCAUAUGGUAUCUUCUACUGUAGUGUCAGAUCAAGUCCCCCUCCUCCUUCAGACAGAAAUUAAAAGAAACUGUAUGGAGCUAAAUUCCACAGUUACAUUCCACACAAUGUUUUAUAAUAAUACACCCCUUCACUGCACAACUCCUUUAGAUAAUCCUGGGCUUGUGCCGAUUCUAACAGGUGGUGGCUCUUAAUGCUCUCAACUCUUUCAACACAUGACAAAAAACUAGCUGCUAAGACACAUUUCAUAUUUCUAUUAUCCAGCAAGUGGUGAACGCGAGCACCAUGGAAUGGAAAACCAUAAAUAUUAGUUGUAAAAUGUUAUCCUACUUAAUAGCAUCUUCAACAAAGCAUGCAUAGAGAAUGUGUUUAGAUCUUUUCUUACUCUGGAUAUUUUCCUUUCCAUAUAGGCCUGCGACAACACACUUUGCGGACUUAAUAGUGCGUGGUACGUUAGUAGAACGUAUGCUAAAAAAGGAAGUGUUAAACAAAAUGACAACAUAAACAUGGUGAAUAAACAAUUGCCUAACAAACUUCAAA